rnacentral:lncRNA from 7 species
UUCUUUUCUCUUUACCUUUCUUCUCUUGUCAUUAUUUCGUUUUUUUGUAUGCUUUUUCUGUUUUCAUCUAUUAGUUUUUUUCUUUUCUUUUUUUUCUUUUUUUAUCUUUUCUCUUUUCUCUUUUUUUUCAUUUUCUUUCUUUCUUUCUCUUUUGUCUUUUUUGUUCAUUUCUUUUUGUCUUUUAUCUUUUUUCUCUUUUUCAUUCAUUUUUUCUUUUUUUCUUUUCAUUUUUUCUCUUUUUCUUAUUUUCUUUUUCUUUUUCUCUUUUUUCAUAUUUUUUGUUCUUAUUUUUUUCUUUUCUUUUCUUUUUUCAUCAUAGGUUUGCCUUCAGCCCUCCCCUCAAGCCCUUCCCUCCGCUCUGCUCUUCACCCAUCCCCUCCCUCCCCAUCCCCCUUUCUCCCUUACCCUCCCCUUUCCCUUGCCUUUGCCUCCCAGUACCUUGCCUGCCUUCACUUACCUUCUCCUCACUUCCUGCUCCUUUGAUGCUAUGGCUUUUGCUGCUACUCACGCCAAACCCCAAACACUUGCCUACUCUGCGUGCUGCUCUGCCAAGUUGCUCUCUACUCUGCUCACAGCUUCACGCCUACUGCCUGCCCUUCUCUGUCCCCUUCUCGGUGCCCUUCACGCUUUUCCUCCCCUUGCUGAGCAAGGCCAUGCCCGGUAGCUACCCUUGAACCUCCUCCGCCCUUUGCUUCCUCCACAGAGAUGCUUGCUUCUGGCCAGCACUCCUGCCCGGUGCCUAGCCCACACACCUCAUCUCUUGGGGAGAUAGCAAGCUGGCCUGUAGCUACCCACACCUCCUCCCGGGCAUGGCUUCUCAGCUUUGCUUCAAGCCCAGAACCCAAAGGAGCUCCUCUUACCUUUUGGCCCACAUUCUUCUCCUCCCGCGCAGCUCCUGUGGCAAGCAGGGGCACAGCUCUGGCCAGAGUCCUCCAUUCCCUGCAAGGUUGCUUUUGUCAUUCUUUGCCUUCUGUUGCUGUGCUCUCUUUUGCUGUGCUAUGCCUAGCUUUCCUACUUGCUUGCUCUGUAUUUACAUGCAUGCUUUUGACUUGUUAUUCUCCUUUGUCCUCUGUUUCAUUAGUUUCCCUUCAACCCUCCCCCUUCCCUCACCCUACCUCCAAUUUUUUCCUUCCUACCCUCUCUCCUCUCCCCCCCCAGCCACCCACACCCCACUUACUCACCCCCCUCACCUCUGCCCCUCUCCACCCCUCCUCCCUCCCCCCUCUCGCCCCCCUCACCCCCCUCUAGCCCCACUGCUCCUCCCCCUCUCCCCCCUCUCCUUCACUUCCCCUCCCCUCCCCUCUCUUUUGCCCCCAUCCACUACCAUUCCCCCUUGCUUUAAGGGAAACUUACCUUUCCUGCUCUUCACUGACUUCUUGAUUCUCGUGGCUUUGGCUGCUAUUUUGCCUUGCUUUCCUUUGCUCUGCUAUGCAUGGCUUUCUCUGUAUUUCUUGCCAUCCACUCCUUCCUUUGAGUUAUUCUUUACUUUUUCACUUGGCUUUUUUCUUCUUUUCUCUUUACCUUCUUCUCUUGUCAUUAAUCGUUUUUUGUAUGCUUUUUUGUUUUCAUCUAUUAGUUUUUCUUUUCUUUUCUUUUUUUCUUUUUUUCAUAUUUUUCUCUUUUCUCUUUUUUAUUUCUAUUUUCUUUUUUUUUUUUUUUUUUUUUUUUUUUUUUUUUUUUUUUUUUUUCUUUUUUUUUUUUUUUUUUUUUUUUUUUUUUUUUCUUUUUUUUUUUUCUUUUCUCUUUUUUAUUCUUUUCUCUUUUUCUUUUUCUUUUUUUUUUCUUUUUCUUUCUUUCUUUCUCUUUUUUUUUUUUUGUUAUUUUUUUUUUUUUUUUUUUUUUUGUUCAUUUUCUUUUUUGUCUUUUAUCUUUUCUCUUUUUCAUUCAUUUUUUCUUUUUUUCUUUUCAUUUUUUCUCUUUUCUUAUUUUUUCUUUUCUUUUUUCUCUUUUUUCAUAUUUUUUUUCUUAUUUUUUCUUUUCUUUUCUUUUUCAUCAUAGGUUGCCUUCAGCCCUCCCCUCAGCCCUUCCCUCCGCUCUGCUCUCACCAUCCCCUCCCCUCCCCAUCCCCUCUUUUCUCCCUUACCCUCCCCUUCCCCUUGCCUUUGCCUCCCAGUACUUGCCUGCCCUUCACUUACCUUCUCCUCACUUCCUGCUCCUUGAUGCUAUGGGCUUUUGCUGCUACUCACGCCAAACCCCAACACUUGCCUACUCUGCGUGCUGCUCUGCCAAGUUGCUCUCUACUCUGCUCACAGCUUCACGCCUACUGCCUGCCCUUCUCUGUCCCUUCUCGUGCCCUUC